rnacentral:rRNA from 1 species
UGGGGAAUCUUGCGCUAAUGCGGGAAACCGUGACGCAGCGACGCCGCGUGGGGGAAGAAGGCCUUCGGGUUGUAAACCCCUUUCAGGAGGGACGAAGCUACUCGGGUUAAUAGCCCAGAGGGUGACGGUACCUCCAGAAGAAGCCCCGGCUAACUACGUGCCAGCAGCCGCGGUAAUACGUAGGGGGCAAGCGUUGUCCGGAUUUAUUGGGCGUAAAGAGCGUGUAGGCGGCUUGGUAGGUCCGCUGUGAAAACUCGAGGCUUAACCUCGAGAUGUCGGCGGAAACCACUUGGCUAGAGUCCGGAAGAGGAGAGUGGAAUUCCCGGUGUAGCGGUGAAAUGCGCAGAUAUCGGGAAGAACACCUAUGGCGAAGGCAGCUCUCUGGGACGGUACUGACGCUGAGACGCGAAAGCGUGGGGAGCGAACAGGAUUAGAUACCCUGGUAGUCCACGCCGUAAACGAUGGGUGCUAGGUGUGGGCGGUGUCGACUCCGUCCGUGCCGAAGCUAACGCAUUAAGCACCCCGCCUGGGGAGUACGGCCGCAAGGCUAA